UGGUUGUCGUCAGCUCGUGUCGUGAGAUGUUGGGUUAAGUCCCGCAACGAGCGCAACCCUUAUUCCCAGUAGCCAGCGGUCCGGCCGGGCACUCUGGGGAGACUGCCGGAGAUAAUCCGGAGGAAGGUGGGGAUGACGUCAAAUCAUCAUGCCCCUUAUGACUUGGGCUACACACGUGCUACAAUGGUGGAAACAAAGUGAAGCAGCCUCGUGAGAGUGAGCAAAGCACAAAAAUACCAUCUCAGUUCGGAUUGUAGUCUGCAACUCGACUACAUGAAGCUGGAAUCGCUAGUAAUCGCAGAUCAGAAUGCUGCGGUGAAUACGUUCCCGGG
rnacentral:rRNA from 1 species